rnacentral:pre_miRNA from 1 species
UAUUAGGUUGGUGCAGAAGUAAUUGCAGUUUUUGCCGCUGAAAGUAAUGGCAAAAACUGCAAUUACUUUUGCACCAACCUAAUA